UACGGAGGAUCCAAGCGUUAUCCGGAUUUAUUGGGUUUAAAGGGUGCGUAGGCGGCUUAUUAAGUCAGGGGUGAAAGACGGUGGCUCAACCAUCGCAGUGCCCUUGAUACUGAUGAGCUUGAAUACACUUGAGGUAGGCGGAAUGUGACAAGUAGCGGUGAAAUGCAUAGAUAUGUCACAGAACACCAAUUGCGAAGGCAGCUUACUAAGGUGCAAUUGACGCUGAGGCACGAAAGCAUGGGGAUCAAACAGG
rnacentral:rRNA from 1 species